CCGAUAUUGUCCUACCUCUUGGACCUGUUCAUCCGUUCGAUACUAGCGCAGGUGGGAGUCAAUCAUGCCAACCGAGAGAUGUAAUCAUGUGACAAGCCUCUACUGCCAGGUGAGGUAUUUGAAAUUUAUAUUUGCCGCCUUCUUCCAGCUUGUAACUGAAACACUCGUCAGGUUGUCGUGGGCAUGUCAGCCCAGUCUUGAGGUAUGUACAGCUCUUCAAUCCACAGUUUCAGAUAUCAUGUAGCCGCAGAACACAAGGUUCUCCAAAUGUAGUAUAUCCUCAGUGUAAUAGUAAUGAUGAUUUAUGUAAAAGAGAAGAUUUUAUGGUGGGUUUAACUAGUAAAUAUUAUCAUCUCUUCGUACUGUGUCACAUUUGCAUGUAAUAUGAUUUUAUAGCAUGUAAUUUAUUUUAUCUGAGACAUUAUAUUUGCACAUAUACCAUUAGUGGUUAAAGUGUCAUCCUGAACCUCCUAAAAGAACCUACGUUUUGAAUCUGAAGAAGUUAUACAUAAUAACAAUAUGAGAUACACUAUGUACUGCAUAGACGAGAUAUGGGGAAAAUAUCCAAGUAUGGAGAUCAUCAUUUACUCAUGAACGGUGAGGGAUUUACUAAAUUUCACUGGUGUCACGUGACACCAAUUGGAGUACCUUGGAAAAUGAAGGGCGAAAAUGGUGUUUGCCAUGCUUUGCUCAGUGUUGUUAAUUCCUUGGUAAUAUGAAAGAAUCUACCAAUACUUCGAAAGCGCCCUUCUAAUCCUGAGCUUGAACGCCAUGAACAGUAAAAACUGAUAUAUAUUUUUAUAAUGAACAUUGCUUAGUUUUCUUUUUACAUGCAAAUUUUUGUGCUGAAAUCAUAUUCCUGAAGGUUUGGGCAAAAAUAACAAAAUGGCACUCCAAAUGCUUUUAGAAGUAGUCUUUUUGUAGCAUUGAUUUUUUUCCCACGGCACUGGAAUGUGUUUUCUUCACAGAAAUUUGCAAGUCUGUAGAACAUUCAACAAUGUUUGUUGCAAAAAGAAAAAUCAGAUUUGUUUAAUUUUUUACCAUUGUUUUAGGUUUUACUAUUCACAGAGGUGCAUUUGAGCUCGGGAGUAGAAACUGCACGUCUCCAAUAUUUCACAUACUCAAGGCACAACCAUGUGCACCAAAAUUAGAUUGUGUUUCUCAGGAUAGUGGCUUGUUAGGCCAACUCUAACCGACCCCCUAAAAAAUAGAGAAGGAUCCGACUGAGUAGAUUUAAGAGGAGUAAACUUUUACUCCUUUAAAGGUGGCCGCACCUAGCUGAUCUUCUAAAUUGAGUGGAGUAAAAAAAAAUGUGUCCUAGCCGCAUGAAGUACAAAUACUUGACAAUAUAUAUAACUAUUCAUCACCUAGGAUGCAAAAUAAUUUAUUCUUCAUCCGAGGUAAUCUUACGAUCGUUUUGUAAAUAAAUUAAAUUUGGUAUACGAAUUGUUACAUUCAUAUCAAUUCACACCGUAAAAUUUGGCAUAAAAAAACAAAACUAUAGGUCAUAAGACAAAAAAAAAA
rnacentral:lncRNA from 1 species